rnacentral:rRNA from 1 species
GAUGAACGCUGGCGGCGUGCCUAACACAUGCAAGUCGAGCGAUUUACUUCGGUAAAGAGCGGCGGACGGGUGAGUAACGCGUGGGUAACCUGCCAUGUACACACGGAUAACAUACCGAAAGGUAUGCUAAUACGAGAUAAUAUGCUUUUAUCGCAUGGUAGAAGUAUCAAAGCUCCGGCGGUACAGGAUGGACCCGCGUCUGAUUAGCUAGUUGGUAAGGUAACGGCUUACCAAGGCGACGAUCAGUAGCCGACCUGAGAGGGUGAUCGGCCACAUUGGAACUGAGACACGGUCCAAACUCCUACGGGAGGCAGCAGUGGGGAAUAUUGCACAAUGGGCGAAAGCCUGAUGCAGCAACGCCGCGUGAGCGAUGAAGGCCUUCGGGUCGUAAAGCUCUGUCCUCAAGGAAGAUAAUGACGGUACUUGAGGAGG